GUGGUGUACCUAACUGACCUAAGACAGGGAAUUUUUAUUAGGAUUAAAAGUCAGAAAUGUAAAUGCUUAAAUGUAUUUGGCUAAUGUGUAUGUAAACUUCCGACUUCAACUGUAUAUACCUACCUGUAGGUCUUGAAGUGAGGUCUUCCAUUUGUUUUUUGCACGUUUUGCUCUGGAUUUAGUACUAGAUCUACACCCCUUUCGCCUUGCCAGCAUUAUUUUGUACUUUUACCUGAGCCCAUGUUUUUGUUUGUGUAGAGAACCAAAUGGGAGGCUGAGGUAGUGGUUCUACUCUGCACACCUCACCCUUAUGUGCACCUCAGUUGGGCUGUGGGACAGUCACCUAGAGAGAUAUUUACACAUGAGAUUGUAUGAACGGGCGACUCUUUUAACGAGGUAAUGGGAAAGGAACAGCAAGAGAUGGACAGUUCCAGCCGAGAGCUGGGGAUGAGACAAAUAAUGACUUGUUGAGACGUGUGCAAUGAAGGAUAAACAGACAUUUGACCAAAGGAGCACUUCUGCUACAGAAACUGUCUCAGGAGGAAAUGUGCAGGGAAGAUACCCAGAAUAUUUGAGUGACAUUCAAGUAGGUAGGUAUGAUGUUUAUCUACACAGUCGUAUUACGCCGUUUGUUUAAUUUGGACAUGAUAUUUUGAUGUGGAAUCAACCUCCAGUGUUCUGUAAUGAUAAAAUGACUGGUGAUAUGACAUGUGGUAUGAAUCAUACGUGGGUUUAAAUACUAUAUCAACUCUCAGUUCAGUUGUGCAAUAUAACAGACAGGAUAGUUUGCUGCUUUCUACUAUUUGCACUAUUGUUCUUCCGUCAAGUUUUCCUCUGAGCCUCUUUUCUCCCUAAUUUACUAAUUUACACACGUUGUUGUCAUAGUGUCUUUAGCAUAGAUCAAUGAAUCAUUUAUCGGUUGUUACUGUGCGUAAUAACAACAAUACAAUGACCAACGCAAUCAUUAAAUAAUCAUAGCUAAGGGUCUUAAUGUCUGAAAUCCAGUUCGUCAUUUGCUGCAGAAAAGAACUAGGUGUUUUCAUUCUCCAGAGUCAGGUAGCUUUUCUCACCUUUUUAUUAAAGCCUGGUUUUGUGUUGCAAAAGGAGCAUGAAUGUGACAUAAUGGAAAGUCCCUCUCUUCAGUGUAUAUCAGUAGAGAACUUAUCAUGAGUUACUUAUCUGGUCUCUCCUGUCACCUUAAAGACGUUUCCCGAUAGACACCUUUAGGGGAAUCAUCUGAAAGCUGUCGUCUUUAGAACGUGAGAUCUCAUAAAGGUUGAUUCUAGAGAGACUGAAUAUAGAGACACCUUUAGGGGAAUCAUCUGAAAGCUGUCGUCUUUAGAACGAGAGAUCUCAUAAAGGUUGAGUCUAGAGAGACUGAAUAUAGAGACACCUUUAGGGGAAUCAUCUGAAAGCUGUCGUCUUUAGAACGUGAGAUCUCAUAAAGGUUGAUUCUAGAGAGACUGAAUAUAGAGACAUCUUUGUAUAUUCCAAAGUGUCUAUAUUUCAUCUCUUUCCCACUAAGUCAAAUAUAAACCACGCUGUCUUGUUUGUUGGCAUAUGGUUUGUGUAUGAAAUUAUUCACGAAUCUCCUGCACCGUAGCUCCUACUGUGUGUAGUUGUCUGAAAGAUGUACAUGUCCCUUGUCUGUUUCCUGCACUACACUGCACCUGUUUGUCUCUUCAUCUUCAUCCAACAACAUCUUGAGUAACUUUCGCCAUUUUUACAUCUGCAAAAUUGUUUGUGAGGAUUAUAUCAACUUGAAUGUGUGUGUGUGUGAGAGAGAGAGAGAGAGAGAGAGAGAGAGAGAGAGAGAGAGAGAGAGAGAGAGAGAGAGAGAGAGAGAGCACUGGGCAUUCAGUAUGACAGUAGGCUUUUUAAGUCAAAACUUGCACUUUUUCAAAUAACCAGUCCUUUGUGGCAGUUGAGGCACAUGGGAAACGUUGUUACCACAAAAUGCAACUGCUACUUUAUAUUUUUACAAUGAACGUACUGUGUUUGAGGGGUUGUGUGUACAUGUCGAUAUGCUAUCAGAGUAAAUGCUGAGCGAUGACGGUGAGGAACCUUUAUUAUGCUACUAUAUCUGGUUUACAACUUGUGUUUGUAAAACAACUGUGUAAUAUUAUUUCCUGAAAUAAUUGUGUUGAUUUAUCUCUGCCGCUCAGUCUCCCGGCUCGCACGUCUCUAUUAACAUGCCGUGCGUGGCGAAACAGAACAGACUAAUUCCCUGACCAACACAAGCUUGAACAGCGAGUAAAUCAUAGAACGCACUUCAUUCCUUGUGUGUACCUUCUGAUGUUGAAAAUAAAUAUGUAUAAUGUA